rnacentral:rRNA from 1 species
CCCUUAGAUGUUCUGGGCCGCACGCGUGCUACACUGAGUGGAUCAGCGGGUCAGGUUGCGCGAAAGUGUUUCCUAAUCUUGAAAUCCGCUCGUGAUGGGGAUUGACGGUUGCAAUUUUCUGCCAUGAACGAGGAAUACCUUGUAAGCGCGGGUCAUCAUCCCGCGCUGAAUACGUCCCUGCCCUUUGUACACACCGCCCGUCGCUCCUACCGAUUGAGUGGUCCGGUGAGGCUUUGGGAUCUGGAUGGAAAGAGCGUUUCGCUGUUUCUGCCCGGAAAACUCAGUCGAACCUUAUCAUUUAGAGGAAGGAGAAGUCGUAACA